rnacentral:misc_RNA from 1 species
AGGUACGUUCAUACUUUGCUGAAAACACCAUAUCCCGUCCGAUUUGUGAAGUUAAGCAGCUAUAGGCCACGUUAGUACUAAGGUUAGUGAUAACUUGGGAACCCGCGGUGACGUACCUCAAACCAACUUUUUUUUUCUCGGUGCUCUCUGCGAAGGCCCCCUCCUUCCCUCCCCUCCCUCCCUCCUUCCCCACGGAGGCUCUUCCGCGCGCGUGGGCCAGCCGAACGCGGGAAGACCGCCCACGCGCCCCACCCCCGCGCGGCAAGCCCACCGCGCAAGCCACCGCCCAGCAGCAGUCGCUCGGCGCUCCAGCUACCUUGGAGCGCGCGCGACCCAGCCCCGCGAACCAGGGCCCCGCUCGCGCCCGCCCCUCCCCCCUCACGCCGUGCGCGACCCACGUCGAGCCCGCCGCC